rnacentral:misc_RNA from 1 species
GAUGAAGAACGUAGCGAAAUGCGAUAAGUAGUGUGAAUUGCAGAAUUCAGUGAAUCAUCGAAUCUUUGAACGCACAUUGCGCCUCCUGGUAUUCCGGGAGGCAUGCCUGUUUGAGUAUCAUGAGCAAAUCUCAAAGUCAAUUCCUUUUGUUAAUUCAAUUGGUUUUGCUUUGGACUUGGAGGUCUUGCAGAUUUUCACAGUCUGCUCCUCUUAAAUGCAUUAGCUGGAUCUCAGUAAUUAUGCUUGGUUCCACUCGGCGUGAUAAGUAUCACUCGCUGAGGACACUGUUAAAAAGGUGGCCAGGAAAAUACUGAUUGAACCGCUUCUAACGGUCUAUUAAGUUAGACAAUUACCCUUAAGUUUGAUCUCAAAUCAGGUAGGACUACCCGCUGAACUUAAGCAUAUCAAUAAGCGGAGGA